rnacentral:rRNA from 1 species
GACGAACGCUGGCGGCGUGCUUAACACAUGCAAGUCGAACGAUGAAACCUAGCUUGCUAGGUCGAUUAGUGGCGAACGGGUGAGUAACACGUGACUAACCUGCCCCUUUCUCUGGGAUAACGCUCCGAAAGGAGUGCUAAUACCGGAUACUCACACCGAGGCACAUGCCUUGGUGUGGAAAGUUUUUCGGAAAGGGAUGGAGUCGCGGCCUAUCAGCUUGUUGGUGAGGUAACGGCUCACCAAGGCGACGACGGGUAGCCGACCUGAGAGGGAAGACGGCCACAAUGGGACUAGGACACGGCCCAGACUCCUACGGGGGGCAGCAGUGGGGAAUAUUGCACAAUGGGCGCAAGCCUGAUGCAGCGACGCCGCGUGAGGGAUGAAGGUCUUCGGAUUGUAAACCUCUUUCAGUAGGGACGAAGCGAAAGUGACGGUACCUAAAGAAGAAGCACCGGCUAACUACGUGCCAGCCGCCGCGGUAA